UUAACGAGUAGUAGGUACAGUGCGCUAUGAUAUACAUUUUAAUGUACUCGUCGUCCGAUGACGAUGUUGGGUUGCGUCGCGUUUCAACGGCGAGAACUUGUGUUGACUCUGUACCGGCGAUCGCCGAUUACGGUCUCGCCGUCAAAGCCGGAGCGGUGGACACUGACUACGUCCGGGGCAGGACAGUGUAUGGCUGUUGGUCGUGCAGAGCAUCCAGAUCCGUCACAUGCCAAGGUCCAACGACAUCCGCCGCCGCCGUAUCACAGUUCCUACGAUACACGUCAUGGCUACGUGGCAGUGUGGCAAGACCGACGCUGUACCUGCUGUUGUCGCAGCUACGAUUGUGUGUACCGGCGCGGAGUCCCGCAGCCUAAAAUGUAUUAAAUUUCUAUUCUUUUUCGCCGGUACUGCAGCUGUAAGUUCUGUCGACGCCUAUGCCAUUUGUAUUGAGUCUCAUCGCCUCCGAGCCGACAGUGUUUUCUAUUCGGUACCCACGCCAUCGGUCGGCGUAACACUAAUAAUAUUUAUUACAAUAAAUUAACGACCAGCACUACAGUGCGUUAUAAUACAUUUUAAUGUUCUCAUGGUCCGACGACGCCGAUUUCGAUUUCGCGUAUCGUAAAAACGCGCAUUUUCGUGAUUUUUGUGCAUUUUAUCCAUCGUUUACCUACGUAUGCUAAGUUGCGUCGCGUUUCAACGGCGAGAACUUGUGUUGACUGUGUACCGGCGAUCGCCGAUUACGGUCUCGCCGUCAAAGCCGGAGCGGUGGACACUGACUACGUCCGGGGCAAGGAUAAUGUAUAGCUGCUGGUCAUACAGAGUAUCCAGGUCCGUCACAUUCCUACUAGUUGCUGCUUAGUUUUACUUUGGCUGCAAGCAUAUUGUGAAACCCGUGUGGAACUCUGAGUAUGAUAUCUUUAGCUAUUGAUAGAGCAUUCAAUUUGACGACAACUUGCAAUGGCUAACAUUUAAAAACCAACCGUGUGGGUCAACAUUUAUACUAUCCCGGGUAAACAACGAUUCACUAUAAUUGAGUGGGAAUACUACUUGAACCAGCGGCAGGCGUAAGGACCGGUCUCGUUUCGGAAUAAUAUAUGCAUUACGAAAAUAUGAUCUUCCAGAUAAUUUACAAGACGUGUACGACCGAAACCCCGGAGGAGUAUACCUACCUAAGACCGUCAAAUAAAUUAUUGUGAGUAUCGAACACGUCAUGUAACAGCUAGGGACGACAUUUUGGGAGUAUAAGCAUGUUUAUUUGGAACGGUAUUUAUAGUGUUUAAGAAAAAACAAAUGAAAUAGGCGGAAUAUUGGUAGGUGCCAUAAGAUAUUUUGUUUUAAGUCAAAACUCAGUUGUUCGAAACAUUUGAAUUUUUAAAAUUUUAAACUAAAAUAAACAAACUUAAAUUAUAUUAAUGAUAUGUACACACAAAUAAAAAUUUAAACCAUUCUCGAUGUAUAGAUGCAAUAAUAAUAAUAAUAAAAAAAUGGUGGGCAAGGGAGAACCGCACUGCUUAAGAACCUUAAUUUUUCGUAGGUUUUUCUUGACGCUUUUGUAAACAUUCUCAAUUUUGUCUCGUCGAAUGCACCAACCAGAAAAGUUGAAGAAAAUUUGAAAAUUGAAGCAUUGUUUCGAUUACUUAUCGUGUACAGAUACAUAAAAAGAAAAAACAUAUUAAUAAAACAUAUUAAUGUAAAAUCAAUACAUUCAUUCACUCUGCUCGGAAUCUAAAAUCGUAAAUAAAAUAAUAUUAUUCAAACACCUAUUAUAUUAAUUCAAUAUAGUUUUACAAAUAUUUUAAGUUUAAU